rnacentral:rRNA from 1 species
CGCAGGAGGUGAAGCACGCAUCGAGCUGGAUCGAUGUUCAAGCGACAAGUGCGGUUAAGAGUCAAAUGCUUCUAACCAGCAACACGAGUCGUGAUGAGGAGUGAAUUAAAAGUAGCGAAGGUGUGGUAGUCACACUGCCAAGAAAAGCUUCUAGCCAGAGAGAACAUACCCGUACCGCAAACCGACACAGGUAGUCGAGUGGAGAACACUAAGGUGAGCGAGAGAACUCUCGUUAAGGAACUCGGCAAAAUGACCCCGUAACUUCGGAAGAAGGGGUGCUGGCCAUGAGAGUGGUUAGCCGCAGUGAAUAGGCCCAAACAACUGUUUAUCAAAAACACAGGUCUCUGCAAAAUCGUAAGAUGACGUAUAGAGGCUGACACCUGCCCGGUGCUGGAAGGUUAAGAGGAGAGCUUAGCGUAAGCGAAGGUUUGAAUUGAAGCCCCAGUAAACGGCGGCCGUAACUAUAACGGUCCUAAGGUAGCGAAAUUCCUUGUCAGGUAAGUUCUGACCCGCACGAAAGGCGUAACGAUUUGGGCACUGUCUCAACGAGAGACUCGGUGAAAUUGUAGUACCAGUGAAGAUGCUGGUUACCCGCGACAGGACGGAAAGACCCCAUGGAGCUUUACUGCAGGUUGAUAUUGAGUGUCUGUGUGACAUGUACAGGAUAGGUAGGAGCCAUUGAAGCCGGAACGCUAGUUUCGGUGGAGGCGCUGGUGGGAUACUACCCUUGUGACAUGGCCACUCUAACCCGCGACCGUAAUCCGGUCGGGAGACAGUGUCAGUCGGGCAGUUUGACUGGGGCGGUCGCCUCCUAAAAUGUAACGGAGGCGCCCAAAGGUUCCCUCAGAAUGGUUGGAAAUCAUUCGUAGAGUGUAAAGGCAGAAGGGAGCUUGACUGCGAGACCUACAAGUCGAGCAGGGACGAAAGUCGGGCUUAGUGAUCCGGUGGUUCCGCAUGGAAGGGCCAUCGCUCAACGGAUAAAAGCUACCCUGGGGAUAACAGGCUUAUCUCCCCCAAGAGUUCACAUCGACGGGGAGGUUUGGCACCUCGAUGUCGGCUCGUCGCAUCCUGGGGCUGAAGUCGGUCCCAAGGGUUGGGCUGUUCGCCCAUUAAAGCGGCACGCGAGCUGGGUUCAGAACGUCGUGAGACAGUUCGGUCCCUAUCCGUCGUGGGCGUAGGAAAUUUGAGAGGAGCUGUCCUUAGUACGAGAGGACCGGGAUGGACGCACCGCUGGUGUACCAGUUGUUCCGCCAGGAGCAUCGCUGGGUAGCUAUGUGCGGAAGGGAUAAGCGCUGAAAGCAUCUAAGUGCGAAGCCCCCCUCAAGAUGAGAUUUCCUUUGCGUAAGCAGUAAGACACCUCAGAGACGAUGAGGUAGAUAGGCUGGGAGUGGAAGUCCUGUGAAGGAUGGAGCGGACCAGUACUAAUCAGUCGAGGGGGGCUUCGC